rnacentral:rRNA from 1 species
AACGGACGCUGGCGGCAGGCUUAACACAUGCAAGUCGAACGCAUCCUUCGGGGUGAGUGGCAGACGGGUGAGUAACGCGUGGGAACGUGCCCUUCAGUUCGGGAUAACCCAGGGAAACUUGGGCUAAUACCGGAUACGUGCGAGAGCAGAAAGAUUUAUCGCUGAAGGAUCGGCCCGCGUCUGAUUAGCUAGUUGGUGGGGUAAUGGCCCACCAAGGCGACGAUCAGUAGCUGGUCUGAGAGGAUGAUCAGCCACAUUGGGACUGAGACACGGCCCAAACUCCUACGGGAGGCAGCAGUGGGGAAUAUUGGACAAUGGGCGCAAGCCUGAUCCAGCCAUGCCGCGUGAGUGAUGAAGGCCUUAGGGUUGUAAAGCUCUUUCGUCCGGGACGAUAAUGACGGUACCGGAAGAAGAAGCCCCGGCUAACUUCGUGCCAGCCGCCGCCGUAACUAC